rnacentral:rRNA from 1 species
AGUGAACGCUGGCGGUAGGCCUAACACAUGCAAGUCGAACGGCAGCACAGUAAGAGCUUGCUCUUACGGGUGGCGAGUGGCGGACGGGUGAGGAAUACAUCGGAAUCUACUUUUUCGUGGGGGAUAACGUAGGGAAACUUACGCUAAUACCGCAUACGACCUACGGGUGAAAGCAGGGGAUCUUCGGACCUUGCGCGAUUGAAUGAGCCGAUGUCGGAUUAGCUAGUUGGCGGGGUAAAGGACCCACAAGGCGACGAUCCGUAGCUGGUCUGAGAGGAUGAUCGGCCACACGGGAACUGAGACACGGUCCAGACUCCUACGGGAGGCAGCAGUGGGGAAUAUUGGACAAUGGGCGCAAGCCUGAUCCAGCCAUACCGCGUGGGUGAAGAAGGCCUUCGGGUUGUAAAGCCCUUUUGUUGGGAAAGAAAAGCAGCAGGUUAACACCCCGCUGUUCUGACGGAACCCAAAGAAUAAGCACCGGCUAACUUCGU